AGGCAGCCCCUUGGGAAAAUACUGACGCUCAUGUGCGAAAGCGUGGGGAGCAAACAGGAUUAGAUACCCUGGUAGUCCACGCUGUAAACGCUGUCGAUUUGGGGAUUGGGCUUUAUGUUUGAUGCCCGUAGCUAACGUGAUAAAUCGACCGCCUGGGGAGUACGGCCGCAAGGUUAAAACUCAAAUGAAUUGACGGGGGCCCGCACAAGCGGUGGAGCAUGUGGUUUAAUUCGAUGCAACGCGAAGAACCUUACCUACUCUUGACAUCCUAAGAAGAACUCAGAGAUGAGUUUGUGCCUUCGGGAACUUAGAGACAGGUGCUGCAUGGCUGUCGUCAGCUCGUGUUGUGAAAUGUUGGGUUAAGUCCCG
rnacentral:rRNA from 1 species